UACGUAGGGGGCGAGCGUUAUCCGGAAUAACUGGGCGUAAAGGAUGCGUAGGCGGUUAAACAAGUUAUAUGUUAAAUAUAUAGGCUUAACCUGUAGAAAGCAUAUAAAACUGUUUAACUAGAGUGCAGGAGAGGUAAGUGGAAUUCCUAGUGUAGCGGUGAAAUGCGUAGAGAUUAGGAAGAACACCAGUGGCGAAGGCGACUUACUGGACUGUAACUGACGCUGAGGCAUGAGAGCAUGGGGAGCAAACAGG
rnacentral:rRNA from 1 species